AUUGAACGCUGGCGGCAUGCUUUACACAUGCAAGUCGAACGGUAACAGGCCGCAAGGUGCUGACGAGUGGCGAACGGGUGAGUAAUGCAUCGGAACGUGCCCAGUCGUGGGGGAUAACGCAGCGAAAGCUGCGCUAAUACCGCAUACGAUCUAUGGAUGAAAGCGGGGGACCGUAAGGCCUCGCGCGAUUGGAGCGGCCGAUGUCAGAUUAGGUAGUUGGUGGGGUAAAGGCUCACCAAGCCAAGGAUCUGGAGCUGGUCUGAGAGGACGACCAGCCACACGGGGAGUGAGACACGGCCCGGACUCCUACGGGAGGCAGCAGUGGGGAAUUUUGGACAAUGGGCGCAAGCCUGAUCCAGCAAUGCCGCGUGCAGGAAGAAGGCCUUCGGGUUGUAAACUGCUUUUGUACGGAACGAAACGGCUCUGGUUAAUACCUGGGGCUAAUGACGGUACCGUAAGAAUAAGCACCGGCUAACUACGUGCCAGCAGCCGCCGUAAGAC
rnacentral:rRNA from 1 species